rnacentral:rRNA from 1 species
AUUGAACGCUGGCGGCAUGCCUUACACAUGCAAGUCGAACGGCAGCGGACCUUCGGGUGCCGGCGAGUGGCGAACGGGUGAGUAAUGCAUCGGAACGUACCUUUCAGUGGGGGAUAACGUAGCGAAAGUUACGCUAAUACCGCAUAUUCUGUGAGCAGGAAAGCAGGGGAUCGCAAGACCUUGCGCUGAUUGAGCGGCCGAUGUCAGAUUAGCUAGUUGGUGAGGUAAAGGCUCACCAAGGUGACGAUCUGUAGCGGGUCUGAGAGGAUGAUCGGCCACACUGGGACUGAGACACGGCGCAGACUCCUACGGGAGGCAGCAGUGGGGAAUUUUGGACAAUGGGGGCAACCCUGAUCCAGCCAUGCCGCGUGAGUGAAGAAGGCCUUCGGGGUGUAAAGCUCGUUCGGCCGGGAAGAAAUCGCACAGGCUAAUACCUUGUGUGGAUGACGGUACCGGAAUAAGAAGCACAGGCUAACUACGUGCCAGCCGCCGCCGUAACAC